rnacentral:rRNA from 1 species
GAAAACUCCGGUGGUACGGGAUGGACCCGCGUCUGAUUAGCUGGUUGGCGGGGUAACGGCCCACCAAGGCGACGAUCAGUAGCCGGCCUGAGAGGGCGGACGGCCACAUUGGGACUGAGACACGGCCCAAACUCCUACGGGAGGCAGCAGUGGGGAAUAUUGCACAAUGGGGGAAACCCUGAUGCAGCGACGCCGCGUGAGUGAAGAAGCGUUUCGGCGCGUAAAGCUCUGUCAGCGGGGAAGAAACACGGUUCGCGAGAGCCGCGGACGGUACCCGACCAAGAAGCCCCGGCUAACUACGUGCCAGCAGCCGCGGUAAUACGUAGGGGGCAAGCGUUAUCCGGAUUCACUGGGUGUAAAGGGAGCGUAGACGGCGAGACAAGUCUGGAGUGAAAGGCCGGGGCCCAACCCCGGGACUGCUCUGGAAACUGCCUGGCUGGAGUACAGGAGAGGUAAGUGGAAUUCCUAGUGUAGCGGUGAAAUGCGUAGAUAUUAGGAGGAACACCAGUGGCGAAGGCGGCUUACUGGACUGUAACUGACGUUGAGGCUCGAAAGCGUGGGGAGCAAACAGGAUUAGAUACCCUGGUAGUCCACGCCGUAAACGAUGAUCGCUAGGUGUCGG